rnacentral:rRNA from 1 species
CAGGCUUAAACACAUGCAAGUCAAGCGGUAACAGGGGGAAGCUUGCUUUCCCGCUGACGAGCGGCGGACGGGUGAGUAAUGUAUGGGGAUCUGCCCCAGAGAGGGGGAUAACCACUGGAAACGGUGGGUUAAUACCGCAUAAUCUCUUAGGAGCAAAGCAGGGGAAUUUCAGUCCCUUGCGACUAUCGGAUGAACCCAUAUUGGAUUAGCUAGUAGGUGGGGUAAUGGCUCACCUAGGCGACGAUCCCUAGCUGGUUUGAGAGGAUGAUCAGCCACAAUGGGAAUGAGACACGGCCCAGACUCCUACGGGAGGCAGCAGUGGGGAAUAUUGCACAAUGGGCGCAAGCCUGAUCCAGCCAUCCCGCGUGUAUGAAGAAGGCCCUUAGGGUUGUAAAGUACUUUCAGUCAGGGAGGAAGGCGAUUGAUGGCUAAUAUUACAUCAACUGAGUUGACGGUUACCGACUAGAAGUAAGCACCGGGCUAACUCACGUGCCAGCCAGCCGCGGUAAUACGGAGGGUGCAAGCGUUAAUCGGAAUUACUGGGCGUAAAGCGCACGCAGGCGGUUGAUUAAGUUAGAUGUGAAAUCCCCAGGGCUUCACCUGGGAAUGGCAUCUAAUGACUGGUCAGCUAGAGUCUGUCAGAGGGGGGUAGAAUUCCAUGUGUAGGCGGUGAAAUGCGUAGAGAUGUGGAGGAAUACCGGAGGCGAAGGGGGCCCCCUGGACAUAAGACUGACGCUCAGGUGCGAAAAGCGUGGGGAGCAAACAGGAUUAGAUACCCUGGUAGUCCACGCCGGUAAAACGAUGUCGAUCUGAAGUGUGUGUGGGUCCCGUUGAGGCGUGGCUUUGCGGAGCUAACGCGUUUAGAUCGACCGCCUUGGGAUUACGCGAUGCGCAAAGUUAAAACUCAAAGGAAUUGACGGGAGCCCCACCAACCGGGGAAGCAGGUGAUUUAAUUCAAUGCACCCCGAAAAACCUUACCUACCCUUGACAUCCAAAAAACUUGACAAAAAUGCUUAGUGGCCUUCGGGAACUCUGAAACAGGUGCUGCCUGGCUGUCCUCCGCUCCUGUUGUGAAAAGUUGGGUUUAAUCCCCCAACGAGCGCAACCCUUAUCCUUUGUUGCCUACGAUUCAGUCGGGAACGAAAGGAGACUGCCGGUGAUAAACCGGAUGAAGGUGGGGAUGACUUCUCAUGGCCCUGGCCCUUACGAGUAGGGCUACACACGUGCGACAAUGGCGUAUACAAAGAGAAGCGACCUCGGGGAAGCAAUCGGAACUCAUAAAGUACAUCCUAGACCGGAUUGUGAGUCUGCAACUCGACUCCAUGAAAUCCGAAUCUCUUCGUAAUAUUAGAUUGCAAUGCUGCAGUGAAUACCUUGCCGUGCCUUGUACACCCCGCCCGUCACACCAUUGGAUUGGGUUGCAAAUAAGUUAUGUAACUUAACCGUCGAGAGGGCGCUUACCGCGAUUUGAUUCAUGACUGGAGUGAUCCAAGAAC